GCAGACGGGUGAGUAACGCGUGAGGAACCUGCCUUCCACAAGGGGAUAGCCUCGGGAAACCGGGAUUAAUACCCUAUGACACUUAAGUAUCGCAUGGUAUUUAAGUUAAAGCGCAAAGCGGUGGAAGAUGGCCUCGCGUUCCAUUAGCUAGUUGGUGAGGUAACGGCUCACCAAGGCUGCGAUGGGUAGCCGGCUUGAGAGAGUGAACGGCCACACUGGAACUGAGACACGGUCCAGACUCCUACGGGAGGCAGCAGUGGGGAAUAUUGCACAAUGGAGGAAACUCUGAUGCAGCGACGCCGCGUGAACGAUGAAGGCUUUCGGGUCGUAAAGUUCUGUCCUAAGGGACGAUAAUGACGGUACCUUAGGAGGAAGCCCCGGCUAACUACGUGCCAGCAGCCGCGGUAAUACGUAGGGGGCGAGCGUUGUCCGGAUUUAUUGGGCGUAAAGGGUGCGUAGGCGGCCUUUUAAGUCAGAUGUGAAAGAUCACGGCUCAACCGUGGUAAGCAUUUGAAACUGGAAGGCUUGAGUUAAGGAGAGGAAAGUGGAAUUCCUAGUGUAGCGGUGAAAUGCGUAGAUAUUAGGAGGAACACCAGUGGCGAAGGCGACUUUCUGGACUUAUACUGACGCUGAUGCACGAAAGCGUGGGGAGCGAACAGGAUUAGAUACCCUGGUAGUCCACGCCGUAAACGAUGAGUGCUAGGUGUUGGGGGUCAAACCUCAGUGCCGCAGCUAACGCAUUAA
rnacentral:rRNA from 1 species